CGCGUAGGCGGUCUGGUCAGUCGGAUGUGAAAGCCCCGGGCUUAACCUGGGAACUGCAUUCGAUACUGCCAAACUAGAAUAUGGGAGAGGGAAGUGGAAUUUCCGGUGUAGCGGUGAAAUGCGUAGAUAUCGGAAGGAACACCAGUGGCGAAGGCGGCUUCCUGGCCCAACAUUGACGCUGAGGUGCGAAAGCGUGGGGAGCAAACA
rnacentral:rRNA from 1 species